rnacentral:rRNA from 1 species
GAUGAACGCUGGCGGCGUGCCUAAUACAUGCAAGUCGAGCGAACGGACGAGAAGCUUGCUUCUCUGAUGUUAGCGGCGGACGGGUGAGUAACACGUGGAUAACCUACCUAUAAGACUGGGAUAACUUCGGGAAACCGUAGCUAAUACCGGAUAAUAUUUUGAACCGCAUGGUUCAAAAGUGAAAGACGGUCUUGCUGUCACUUAUAGAUGGAUCCGCGCUGCAUUAGCUAGUUGGUAAGGUAACGGCUUACCAAGGCAACGAUGCAUAGCCGACCUGAGAGGGUGAUCGGCCAGACUGGAACGGGACCACGGUCCAGACUCCUACGGGAGGCAGAGGUAGGGAAUCUUCCGCAAUGAGCGAAAGCCUAACGGAGCAACGCCGCGUUAGGGAUGAAGGUCUUCGGAUCGUAAAACUCUGUUAUUAGGGAGGAGGAUAUGUGUAAGUAACUGUGCAGAUCUUGACGGUACCUAAUCAGAAAGCCACGGCUAACUACGUG